UACGUAGGGGGCAAGCGUUGUCCGGAAUCAUUGGGCGUAAAGAGCGUGUAGGCGGCCCGAUAAGUCCGCUGUGAAAGUCCAGGGCUCAACCCUGGGAUGCCGGUGGAUACUGUCGGGCUCGAGUCCGGAAGAGGAGUGUGGAAUUCCUGGUGUAGCGGUGAAAUGCGCAGAUAUCAGGAAGAACACCAAUGGCGAAGGCAGCUCUCUGGGACGGUACUGACGCUGAGACGCGAAAGCGUGGGGAGCGAACAGG
rnacentral:rRNA from 1 species